AUCUGCCCUUAGGUUCGGAAUAACAGCUGGAAACGGCUGCUAAUACCGGAUGAUAUCGCGAGAUCAAAGAUUUAUCGCCUGAGGAUGAGCCCGCGUUGGAUUAGGUAGUUGGUGGGGUAAAGGCCUACCAAGCCGACGAUCCAUAGCUGGUCUGAGAGGAUGAUCAGCCACACUGGGACUGAGACACGGCCCAGACUCCUACGGGAGGCAGCAGUGGGGAAUAUUGGACAAUGGGCGCAAGCCUGAUCCAGCAAUGCCGCGUGAGUGAUGAAGGCCCUAGGGUUGUAAAGCUCUUUUACCCGGGAAGAUAAUGACUGUACCGGGAGAAUAAGCCCCGGCUAACUCCGUGCCAGCAGCCGCGGUAAUACGGAGGGGGCUAGCGUUGUUCGGAAUUACUGGGCGUAAAGCGCACGUAGGCGGCUUUGUAAGUCAGAGGUGAAAGCCUGGAUCUCAACUCC
rnacentral:rRNA from 1 species